CAUGAUCAUCAAGCACAGACAUGCUGCUUGUGGUACCUUGAGAUUUCCAGUUCUCCAAAACAAAUUCAUCUGCUUCUACGGUCUCCAAUGUCGUGACCUUCAAAGGCAAAUUCCUGCUACUGCCCAAUGAUCCUGACCUUCUACUUCCAGAUUCAGCCUUUUCAGAUUGAUGAUCAAUUCCAAUGGAUGAAUCCUUUUGAUGUCUC
rnacentral:misc_RNA from 1 species